rnacentral:rRNA from 1 species
AUUGAACGCUGGCGGCAUGCCUUACACAUGCAAGUCGAACGGCAGCACGGGUGCUUGCACCUGGUGGCGAGUGGCGAACGGGUGAGUAAUAUAUCGGAACGUACCUUAUCGUGGGGGAUAACGCAGCGAAAGCUGCGCUAAUACCGCAUACGCCCUGAGGGGGAAAGCGGGGGACCGUAAGGCCUCGCGCGAUUAGAGCGGCCGAUAUCUGAUUAGCUUGUUGGUGGGGUAAAGCCCACCAAGGCGACGAUCAGUAGCUGGUCUGAGAGGACGAUCAGCCACACUGGGACUGAGACACGGCCCAGACUCCUACGGGAGGCAGCAGUGGGGAAUUUUGGACAAUGGGGGCAACCCUGAUCCAGCAAUGCCGCGUGAGUGAAGAAGGCCUUCGGGUUGUAAAGCUCUUUGUCAGGGAAGAACACCGGCUCUAACACAGUCCGGGAAUGACGGUACCUGAAGAAUAAGCACCGGCUAACUACGUGCCAGCAGCCG